rnacentral:rRNA from 1 species
AGUGAACGCUGGCGGUAGGCCUAACACAUGCAAGUCGAACGGCAGCACAGUAAGAGCUUGCUCUUACGGGUGGCGAGUGGCGGACGGGUGAGGAAUACAUCGGAAUCUACUUUUUCGUGGGGGAUAACGUAGGGAAACUUACGCUAAUACCGCAUACGACCUACGGGUGAAAGCAGGGGAUCUUCGGACCUUGCGCGAUUGAAUGAGCCGAUGUCGGAUUAGCUAGUUGGCGGGGUAAAGGCCCACCAAGGCGACGAUCCGUAGCUGGUCUGAGAGGAUGAUCAGCCACACUGGAACUGAGACACGGUCCAGACUCCUACGGGAGGCAGCAGUGGGGAAUAUUGGGCAAUGGGCGCAAGCCUGAUCCAGCCAUACCGCGUGGGUGAAGAAGGCCUUCGGGUUGUAAAGCCCUUUUGUAGGGAAAGAAAAGCAGCAGGUUAAUACCCCGCUGUUCUGACGGUACCCAAAGAAUAAGCACCGGCUAACUUCGUG